UUACUGAGCUACAAUCAAGGUCCAUUUGGUCUAAUCAAAGAUAUGGACUUGACCAUUUACAGAUAUUAUAUUAGAAAAAUUUUGAUUAAUCUAAUUCAAUAUUUGAUUAGACUUAAUCAAUUUCUCUGCAUGGUCAAUCAAUUCGUUGAUUCUAACCUUAGGUCUAUCCCAAUUAAAGAGAAGGACCUGAUUUGAGCUAAUCCAUGCCCCA
rnacentral:lncRNA from 1 species